AACGAACGCUGGCGGCAUGCCUAACACAUGCAAGUCGAACGAGACCUUCGGGUCUAGUGGCGCACGGGUGCGUAACGCGUGGGAACCUGCCCUUAGGUUCGGAAUAACUCCCCGAAAGGGGUGCUAAUACCGGAUAAUGUCUUCGGACCAAAGAUUUAUCGCCUUUGGAUGGGCCCGCGUUGGAUUAGCUAGUUGGUAGGGUAAAAGCCUACCAAGGCGACGAUCCAUAGCUGGUCUGAGAGGAUGAUCAGCCACACUGGGACUGGGACACGGCCCAGACUCCUACUAGAGGCAGCAGUGGGGAAUAUUGGAAAAUGGGCGAAAGACUGAUCCAGCAAUGCCGGGUGAGUGAUGAAGGGGUUAGGGUUGUAAAGAUCUUUUACCCGGGAUGAUAAUGACAGUACCGGGAGAAUAAGCUCAGGCUAACUCGGU
rnacentral:rRNA from 1 species